AUUGAACGCUGGCGGCAGGCCUAACACAUGCAAGUCGAGCGGAUGAAGAGAGCUUGCUCUCUGAUUUAGCGGCGGACGGGUGAGUAAUGCCUAGGAAUCUGCCUGGUAGUGGGGGAUAACGUCCGGAAACGGGCGCUAAUACCGCAUACGUCCUACGGGAGAAAGCAGGGGACCUUCGGGCCUUGCGCUAUCAGAUGAGCCGAGGGCGGAUUAGCUAGUUGGUGAGGUAAGGGCUCACCAAGGCUACGAUCCGUAACUGGUCUGAGAGGAUGAUCAGUCACACUGGAAUUGAGACACGGUCCAGACUCCUACGGGAGGCAGCAGUGGGGAAUAUUGGACAAUGGGCGAAAGCCUGAUCCAGCCAUGCCGCGUGUGUGAAGAAGGUCUUCGGAUUGUAAAGCACUUUAAGUUGGGAGGAAGGGCAGUAAGUUAAUACCUUGCUGUUUUGACGUUACCGACAGAAUAAGCACCGGCUAACUUCGUGCCAGCCGCCGCAGUAAGAC
rnacentral:rRNA from 1 species